rnacentral:rRNA from 1 species
UUUUAAUUGAAGGCUUGUAUGAAUGGUUGGACAAAAAGUAAGCUGUCUCAAUUAUAAUAAUUGAAUUUAACUUUUAAGUGAAAAGGCUUAAAUAAAUUAAGGGGACGAUAAGACCCUAUAAAGCUUGACAAUAAUUUAAUUAUACUAUCAAUUGUUAGUAUAACUUGGUUUUAAUUAAUAUUUGUUGCGUUGGGGCGACGAGAAUAUAAUAGGUAACUGUUCUUAAAUAUUUAAUAACAAAUAUAAUUGGAAAUUAGUAUGAUCCUCUAUUAGCGAUUAAAAGAUUAAGUUACUUUAGGGAUAACAGCGUAAUCUUCUUUGAGAGUCCCUAUCGACAAGAAGGUUUGCGACCUCGAUGUUGAAUUAAGGUAUCCUUAUGAUGCAGCAGUUAUAAAGGAAGGUCUGUUCGAC